GAAGAAUUUGGUUAGUCCUGUACAGUUGAAUCAGUUUGAUUUCAUGAAAGUCUCAUUGCCCAUUAAGUCACGCAUUGCACAGGGCCAACUCAGCCCUAUAGAUCGGUCAGCUUUUGCUUUAACAGGAGAGUUUGCAGUUGUGGUUUCAAUUCGUUGAGUUUGUUAUACAUUAAGGACCAGACCCGUUGAACUUCAGCUUCUCCAGGAGCUUUGGUGACCCUCUAUAAAGCACAGUCAGUGAGAUUUCCUCAGUCUUAUAACUUAACUACGCAGGAAUAGCUCAGCCCUUCUUGCAGGACAAGUUCUUUGGCCCUUCCUAAUGAAUUAAAGUGAGGAUGUUGAAACCACAACUCUUCUUACACCCUUCUCUCUAGUGCAAAACCCCCAAAAGUGAGGUUUAUGGGGUGAAACUCUAGCAUUGGGGAAUAAAACACUCUGUGGACAACCACGGGACUAAACAAGAAUAUUUCGGAAGAGAUUAUAUAUUAACUAAAGGUCUUCUAGUAUAUGAAAUUUGAGUGGUUAAAUGCCACGAUCAAGCAUUUCUGCUGUACAAGCUGCAAAUAGCUUUAUGUACAAGAUUUAAUUAUAUAGCGUUCAUAGCGGAUUAAAAAGUGGGCGCAUCCAGUCAUUAUGGUGGUGUGUCCCCUUGCUGCACUAGCUGAAGUGCUUUUGGACAGACGAUCAUAUUAACAGCUGCACUUUGACAAUAUUCAGUCGUUUGCUCAUGACGCACACUUAGUGCUGCAGUUUAGUAACGUGACGUGGUAUCACCGUGUAGCUUGCGCUUUAUCAAGAGAACGUUUCAUAAUCUGGUGCCAAAAUCUGUUUAUUUGUAGCACAAUAGUGUAAAUGUGUUGGUGGAUUUUAAUUUCCAAUGCCUCUGUUAUUCCAGCCUGUAAUUCUGGAAUGUUUGGGACAGCCUAUACUUUGGGAACUAGAUUAUUUUCAAGAAACUGGCGCUUACUCGUAACACUGUUGUAGGCACAAUCAAUUUGAAGGUUCUGGGUUUACAAUUUUUCUGUGAUUUCUACAAAUUGCAAAUAAAUGUAUACUGGAUA